rnacentral:snRNA from 1 species
AUGCUUGACUCAACAGCACAUACACUAAAAAAUUUGAACCAUACAGAGAAGACUAGCAUGGCCCCUAUACAAAGAUAAUAUGCAAAUUCGUGAAACACUUUCUGUUUUU